GAGUUUGAUCGUGGCUCAGAACGAACGCUGGCGGCGUGGAUAAGACAUGCAAGUCGAACGGGAGAAUUGCUAGCUUGCUAAUAAUUCUCUAGCGGCGCACGGGUGAGUAACACGUGAGUAACCUGCCCCCGAGAGCGGGAUAGCCCUGGGAAACUGGGAUUAAUACCGCAUAGUAUCGAAAGAUUAAAGCAGCAAUGCGCUUGGGGAUGGGCUCGCGGCCUAUUAGUUAGUUGGUGAGGUAACGGCUCACCAAGGCGAUGACGGGUAGCCGGUCUGAGAGGAUGUCCGGCCACACUGGAACUGAGACACGGUCCAGACACCUACGGGUGGCAGCAGUCGAGAAUCAUUCACAAUGGGGGAAACCCUGAUGGUGCGACGCCGCGUGGGGGAAUGAAGGUCUUCGGAUUGUAAACCCCUGUCAUGUGGGAGCAAAUUAAAAAGAUAGUACCACAAGAGGAAGAGACGGCUAACGUCUGUGCCAGCAGCAGCCG
rnacentral:rRNA from 1 species